GGGCUCCGGAUAAACGUCGGACGGCGUGCCUAAAACAUGCAAGUCGAGCGGUAAGGUCCCUCCCGACUUCUAGGAUAUUUUUGCGAGAAAUAGGGUGGGGUACACGAGCGGCGGACGGGUGAGUAACGCGUAGGAACGUACCCCAAAGUGAGGAAUAAGCUCCGGAAACGGAGUCUAAUACCGCAUACACUCUUAUGAGUACAGGAGUAAUCCGCUUUGGGAGCGGCCUGCGUCCGAUUAGUUCGUUGGUGAGGUAAUAGCUUACCAAGACUAUGAUCGGUAGCUGGUUUGAGAGGAUGAUCAGCCACACUGGGACUGAGACACGGCCCAGACUCCUACGGGAGGCAGCAGUUAGGAAUUUUCCACAAUGGGGGCAACCCUGAUGGAGCAACGCCGCGUGCAGGAAGACGGGCUUCGGGUUGUAAACUGCUUUUAAGAGUGAAGAUUAUGACGGUAACUUUAGAAUAAGGAUCGGCUAACUCCGUGCCAGCAGCCGCGGUCAAACGGAGGAUCCAAGCGUUAUCCGGAAUUACUGGGCGUAAAGAGUUGCGUAGGUGGCAAGGUAAGCGAAGUAUGAAAGCUUGUGGCUCAACCAUAAGACUAUGCUUUGAACUACCUAGCUAGAGUGCGGGAGAGGUAGAUGGAAUUUCUAGUGUAGGAGUGAAAUCCGUAGAUAUUAGAAGGAACACCGAUGGCGUAGGCAGUCUACUGGCCCGUUACUGACACUAAGGCACGAAAGCGUGGGGAGCGAACGGGAUUAGAUACCCCGGUAGUCCACGCCGUAAACUAUGGAUGCUAGCUGUUAAGAGUAUCGACCCUUUUAGUAGCGAAGCUAACGCGUUAAGCAUCCCGCCUGAGGAGUACGGUCGCAAGGCUAAAACUCAAAGGAAUUGACGGGGACCCGCACAAGCGGUGGAGCGUGUUGUUUAAUUCGACGGUAAGCGAAGAACCUUACCAAGGUUUGACAUCCCGCGAAGAACUCCGAAAGGAGUUUGUGCCCCUCAGCUUUUUGACGUCCGCUUAAGGCGGAUGAAUGUAAUUAUUAUUCGUAGUGAUACUGGGUAAUGCUUGCAUGACGUAAGGUCAAAAGGUUGAGGGGGAACACGGUGACAGGUGAUGCAUGGCCGUCGUCAGCUCGUGUCGUGAGAUGUUUGGUUAAGUCCAUCAACGAGCGCAACCCUUAUAGUUAGUUGAAUUUUUCUAGCUAGACUGCCCCGGUAACGGGGAGGAAGGAGGGGACGAUGUCAGGUCAUUAUUUCCCUUACACCUUGGGAUACAAACACGCUACAAUGGCCGGUACAAAGGGCCGCUAAGUCGCAAGACAGAGCAAAUCCCAUCAAAGCCGGUCUCAGUUCGGAUUGCAGGCUGAAGCUCGCACUGCAUGAAGCUGGAAUCGCUAGUAACGAUAG
rnacentral:rRNA from 1 species